GAAAAUUUUUGAUGGCGCAGGAUCGGAAGAGGCAGAGACCGAAUAUACUGAUUACCGGAACUCCAGGCACCGGCAAGACAACAACUUCAUCUGCUUUAGCAGACGCCGCUCAACUUCGUCAUGUCUCCAUCGGAGACCUUGUGAAGGAGAAGAGUUUGCACGAUGGCUGGGACGACGAACUCCAAUGCUAUGUCAUCAACGAAGAUUUGGUCUGCGAUGAGUUGGAGGAUUUAAUGGAAG
rnacentral:misc_RNA from 1 species